CGGAAGUGGAACGGCGGAGGGGGUAGAACCAGGAAGUCGUGCCAAUCGGCAGGGCUUGCGAUACCGGCGUGUUUGCGCUUGCCUGUUCCCGAGCACACGGUGGGUGAAAAUUGUUAACAUUUAGGAAAGCGAAGAAACUAGUGGGUGAGGCGAGAAGAGCAGGAAGGAAAGGAGGGAAAGUAAAGUUUUCUAGUACAAGCACAUUGAGAAGAAUGGCGGAUAAAGUUUGCGACAAGCCAGGUAGAAAUAGGCUGCCGCAGGGUGCUCGAAACCGGGCUGAUGGAGUAGUGUGAAGUCUCCCGAAAUCAGGAGAGGCUGCCUCUGGCUUGCUGUGAGAACAGACACCAUAAACUUAGUAGGUCCGGUGAUUUAAGCUGUAAAAUAUGUGAUUAGACUCCAGGUAGUCUGAAUGUCAAAACUCCAGCACUCCAAAGCUCUCACUAGGCACUGCUGCCUCAGUAUUUAUUUUAAAAUAUAGACUACAAGUCCGGGCGUGGUGACUGACGCUUGUAAUCCCAGCACUUUGGGAGGCCGAGGCAGGCGGAUCGAGGUCAGGAGUUCUAGACCAGCCUGGCCAACGUGCAACUUUAUAAAGCAACUUGAGUCCCGAAGAAAAGACUGUUGUUCUUUUAAGAAAUGGGUCUUCUCGAAUUAUAAACUUUAACACCAUUUUGCAUCGAAGAACGAGAAUAUUUAGUCUUCCAGCUCCAUGUCAUCUAACCCACUGAACAAACGUGGACUAUUGCUUCCAGAGGCCACCUGGCAACUCCAUUUCCAAAGGUAAUCUCCAGAAGACAUGUAUUUUCUAUGAUUUCUUUUAAACAAACGAAAAUUUACAAGAUGUGUGAUUUUCUAACUCUAUCAUAUGUUGGCAACCUCUUUACAUCUAGAAGGGCUAGAUGUGACAAAUGUUUUCUAUUAAAAGGUUGGGGUGGAGUUGAGAGCAGCUUUUUCAUAUUACAUACACAGGCCUUCCAUAAACGGCCAGUAAGUCUUCCCAGAGGGUGGUGGGCAUCACCAGCGGGCCAAAC